CCUACGUGAGGCUGCAGUGAGGAAUAUUGGUCAAUUGACGAGAGUCUGAACCAGCAAAGUAGCGUGAAGGAUUACUGCCCUAUGGGUUGUACCCUUCUUUUAUAUGGGAGUAAAAUGUUCCACGUGUGGGAUUUUGUAUGUACCAUAUGAAUAAGGAUCGGCUAACUCCGUGCCAGCAGCCGCGGUAAUACGGAGGAUACGAGCGUUGUCCGGAUUUAUUGGGUUUAAAGGGAUCGUCGGUGGAUUGUUAACACAGGUGUUAAAGUUUGCGGCUCAACCGGAAAAUUGCAGUUGAAACUGGCAGUCUUGAGUACAGUAGAGGUGGGCGGAAUGCGUGGUGUAGCGGUGAAAUGCUUAGAUAUCACGAAGAACUCCGAUUGCGAAGGCAGCCCACUGGACUGCAACUGACACUGAGGCUCGAAAGUGUGGGGAUCAAACAGGAUUAGAUACCCCUGUAGUC
rnacentral:rRNA from 1 species